rnacentral:lncRNA from 1 species
UUUUUUUUUUUUUUUUGGGGGCCCCCUUCUGCAGCAUAUCGAGAGUCCCAGGCUAGGGGUCUAAUUGGAACUGUUGCUGCCAACCUACGCCACAGCCACAGCCACACCAGAUCCAAGCCGCAUCUGCGACACCACAGCUCAUGGCAACGCUGGAUCCUUAACCCACUGAGUGAGGCCAGGGAUCGAACCCUCAACCUCAUGGUUCCUAGUCAGAUUGGUUUCCACUGAGCCACGAUGGGAACUCCAAGAUUUUACAUUUUUAAAUAGUUGGGGAAAAAAUUAAAAGAAUACUUUAUGACAUGAAAGUUGCAUGAAAUUCAGAUAUCAGAGUCCGUAAGUGCGUGUGUGUUGGAACAUAACCCUGUUCAUUUGUUUGUGUUUAUUAUCUGGUCCUUUCCAGAUGAAAUGUGCUGACCCUGAUUUAGCAUACAUUUUAGCAUGAUUUAGAUACAUACAUUCCUAGGUUCAACAUUUAUCUUAGCUUCUUAUGGUGCUAUCUUCUGAUAUUUCUGCUUUGAUUCCUUCCUUUCCCUCCUUUUAUAUACUAAACCUUUGCAUUCAUAGAGUUUGUCACAUGAUUUGCCCUUUUUUGUAACAAGCCCAAAACUGACAUUUUGUACUCUUUUGUGCUGGUUGUGUAGCCUCCUGGAUAUUCCCUUGGCACUGCAAACAGAGUGGUUCAAACUGAGUUGCCUAGCCCUCAACUUGUCUACUUUAUUUCUCUUUGUGACUUCUGUGUUCUGUCACCUGGGGCUGAACAAAUCCAACUGUUCUAUUCCUGCAGUCUCGAUCCCAUGUAGUCUCUACCCUAAUUGAACCACUUAUGUUUCUUGCUUGGAUUCUUACAGUUUCUUAGAUGGUCUUUCUAACAUACUGUUGAGGGGAGGACAACUAAUGCCUGUCAGAUACGCUUUUUGGAGUGCAAAAAUUUAAGGUCUCGAGAUACUUUGAAAGAAAUAGGAAUGCAUUUUUAGCAAGGAAAUAACACAAAGCAUUGUUACCAAGCAUCAUAUAGGGGUGCCUUUUUGUUUACUUCAUUACCUUCCUAUAUCAGUUGAUUGUGUCAACACCAUUGCCGAAUUACAGCACAUUCAGAAAUGUGCUCUUUUUCAAAGAUAGGAAGAAUGAAGUCUGUGUAUCCAACUUUUUUUUCUUUGAAUUUUAACCUCAUCUCUUCAUAGUACUUAGUAAAGAAAAUUGCUGUAGAUCCCUAUAAAUACCAUUCCCUUUUAUUAUUAUUACUUUUUUUUUUUGUCUUUUGUUGUUGUUGCUAUCUCUUGGGCCGCUUCCGCGGCAUAUGGAGGUUCCCAGGCUAGGGGUUGAAUCGGAGCUGUAGCCACCAGCCUACGCCAGAGCCACAGCAACGCGGGAUCCGAGCCGCGUCUGUAACCUACGCCACAGCUCACGGCAACGCCGGAUCGUUAACCCACUGAGCAAGGGCAGGGACCGAACCCGCGACCUCAUGGUUCCUAGUUGGAUUCGUUAACCACUGCGCCACGACGGGAUCUCCCCCUUUUAUUUUUUUCGGUGCCUGUGUCCCAUUGCUUUCCUUGAAAUGCCCUCCUGUUUUACCCUGUCAUCUCCAUGAAGACAUGCUUCCCAUGCAUUUUAACUCAUUUGGUAAGUGAAGCAAAUGUUGAGAACCUGCACUGUUAAAGAGUGUAGUCUUUCCUUUGGACUUGGCAUUUAAUAGUACCUUUAAUUGGUGAACGUUUCAUCUCUCCUUUGGUAGGUUACAUGUUCCCGAGGGUCAGGUCUGUCCCCUGCCCUGCUUUGCACAUAAGGUCAAUGCCCACUUAGCUGCCUUGUGGGGAUUCCUGCCCUCAUCUGUCUAGAAAAGUUCUUGAAUGUGAGAUAGCACACUGACCUCUUGUGCUAGUAAGUUGCUUUCCAGUCAGUACACUGCACUUGGCGAGUUGUAUGCUUUUCAGAAGUUGGGUUGGUUUCUAGGACUAUUUCAUGACAGGUAAUCUUGCUUGUAUAAUAAUUUACAUAUGUAAACUGGCAAAAUGAGUGCAAGCUCUUUUUCCCCCCUGAAAAUCAAGUUGGAUUCUUUGGAAAAAUUUGAUAAAGGUGAGUCACUGAAAUAAUGGCUGUGGAAUUAGAUAUGGCUGUAAUAACUAAAAGUUUUGGAGGAAGAAUAACAGUCCAGGCUGAUUCUGUAUGUACACUGCUUUACAAGGAUUUCUCUCUCUCUCUCUCUUUUUUUUUUUUUGUCUUUUGUCUUUUUAGGGCCGCUCCCACAGCAUAAUGGAGGUUCCCAGGCUAGAGGUCUAAUCAGAGCUAUAGCUGCUGGCCUAUGCCAGAGCCACAGCAACGCCAGAUCUGAGCCAUGUCUUCGACCUACAGCACAGCUCAUGGCAAUGCCAGAUCCUUAACCCACUGAGCAAGGCUGGGAAUUGAACCCGCAACCUCAUGGUUCCUAGUCGGAUUCGUUUCCAAUGCGCCACAACUUGGACAAGGAUUUCUUAAAGCUUUCCACUUUAAUGAAACUGAACUGGAGGUUGUAGAUGAUGCAUUUAUAGAUAAUGUUUAGAUCAAGCAGAAGGAACUUCUGUCAGCAAGGAGCUCCACGUCGAUCCUUGACCCCCAUAUUUAGGUUGCCAAAUGAAUACAUUUAAAUGUUAAAUGUAAAUAAAAUGUUUAAGGUAUGUAUGUAUGAUUUUUUUUUUUUAUUUCCUGUUUCAGCUUUAAUUCCUUUUUUACUUAUUACUUUUGGAUGUGAUUGUUUUGGAUACAAAGGCUUCUGCCUAAGUAUGUGCUCUGAUUUUUGUUUUCUAAAUGAAUCAUAGAAGAACAUAAGAUCUGAAAUGAAGACCCUGGCUGUGUUAUGUUGGAAUGAACAACUGGCCCUGGGAGAGCAGAAGGAACUUGAGAGUCGGUGAACCUGGUUUUGGUUGCUGGCAGCUACCUCCUCGGAAUCUUACCCUUCUGGGUCCUCAUUUCUUUGUCCGUAAAAUGGGACUGAUCCCUCAGUUGGAGAGUUUUUGUUGAGAAAAUGAUGACAUGCCCUUGGAGGUAGUAGGUGUUCAGUAUGACAUUAAAGUAGCUUUGGGACCUCGGGAAAGUUAUCAGACUUUAUUGUCUAGUUUCUGUUAUCCCUACUUUAUUAAUGAAGAGACUCCAAAAGCUACAUUUAUUAUAUAUAUCAGCUACUAGAAUCCAAGACUGAGUCAAACCUGGAAUAUAGUCUUUGCUCAAAAAAUUUUGAAUUAGUAAACAUGAGCCAUGCUAUGCUGCAUGACAGCUUGCAUGCUAAUUAAGCAAGGUCGUGGUUUUGCACCUGUGAGCUGUAGAAUGUAUGUUUGAGGGGUCCCAUGAAUGAACCCCAUCCCUUAGCAUGGCCUCUCUGUCAGGCAGACAUGUAGCCUUUGUCCAGCAGCUACUAGCCUUUGCCCUGCUGAGUCCACUGGGAUUCCUUUUUGAGAACUAAACUAUUUGCUUCUGGGCUUCGCGUUCAUCACUCUCAACUGACCCACCAUAACUAGUACUUAGGUAGACAAUGUGUUUUUCAAGUGAGGAGGUUGGGGAAAGUGAAUAGGGAAAAUCUAAAGAGAAGAAUUUCUUCAGGAUGACUCUUUUCAGUAAAAUCAACACAUUGAGCAAAUAGAUCAUAGUUCUGCUGCUACAUGUCUUUCUCUUUUCAGAUGGUGAUCUUAAGACUUUUUUCUAUUCCUAGUGGUACAAAGCUUAUUUCUCUAAAGGAAUUAAAACAGCAUUAUUUUGCAUUAUAGCCUGUGUUGCUGAAAUGUAUGUAUUUCAUUAACAUGCUUGCUUGAUUUUUUUUUUUUUUCUAGUAAUUGUCUUGUAAGCCAGGGGUACCUGUGAUCCAAGUUUAAAAUAUUACUGCUCAUAAGAGAAUGCACCUUUUUUCUUUGAUGUGUAUGUAACUGUCAGUCUUUAAGUUCAACUUUGUUUGACUUAGUUUGUGACUAUUUUUGUACCUGAUUAUUUUAUUCAGAAGCUGCAUAAUGAAAUAUUGAAUGAUAAAGGGUUUUGUGUGUACUGUAUAAAGCAGAGUUGAGAAAUUGUGUGAGUGUGUGUGUGAGAGAGUGUGUGAGUGUAUAGUGGGUGAGGAAACAGCGUGACCAAGAAGAUUGAAUACUAAUGCUGGUAACUUAUAAAUCAUUUUCAUUUUGUUUGGAGAUGACAGUGUGAAGUGUAAAUGUAUUCACAAGUUCAUAAAAGCUGUUUAACAAAGUUGCCUAAGAAAUAGGUCAUAUGUUGAAUUCUUUUAACUGUGAUGUUUUAAAAACUGGGUAAGUAUGAAUCAGCCUUAGAUUAUUUUGUCAUAGUUUGGAGUGUUGUAAUUCAAGACUCGAAGGGGUUGGGUGGGCCAGUGACAAAAUGGAAGAGCUCCUGGGUGUGUGUGUGCGUGUGUAUGUGUGUGCACUGUUGCUUGUAGUGCUGGUGUUCACGACUGCAGUCUGUUAUUGCCAUGGCAAGUGUGGGCUUGGUUUUGCUAGUUUGUCUUUUUCUGACUCAUCCCUGGCCAGAAAUCCAGAUUUUAUAGGAAGUCUGUUUUGUUUUUUGUUUUCUUGUCUUUCUUUUGCCGCACCUAUGGCAUAUGGAAGUUCCCAGGCUAGGGGUCAAAUCGGAGAUGUAACUGCCGGCCUACACCACAUCACAGCCAUGCCAGAUCCAAUCUUGUGUCUGUGACCUACAUGGCAACUCAUGGCAACGGUUCAUCCUUAACCCACUGAUUGAGCCCAGGGAUGGAUUCCAUGUCCUCAUGGAUACUAGUCAGGUUUGUUAACUGAGUCACAGUGGGAACUCUGGGAAGUCUGUUUUUUAAGAUGUUGGCAACUAAUAAGUACCAUGGACCUAAUGAAAUGUUAUCUGUUGGUCAUAUAUGGCUCUCCCACCUUGCAAUUUCUGAUUGAGAUAUUUGUUAAAGACAUCCUUAAUUACCUUUAGACCUUUUUUAGUAGCAUUUUAAGUUUCAAAAAUUGCUGCUUACACACUGACAGAACCCGCCUUGCUAAUUGGUCAUGGAUUUACAGUGGGACUAAUGAUUACUUAGUAAAUGGCACACAUGUUCAGUUCAGUUCUUAAAAGUAGUAUCAGUUUCUAGUUUUGGACUAGUGGAUUAUGUUUGUCCACGUGAGGCUAAAGUGUAUAUAGAGGCUUCAGAGAGUUUAGCUAAAGGCUGAGGUAUGACUUGAUGUGAGCUGUCAGAAAUUGAUAUUCAUAGUCUACUUUGUCUUUGGAUGUCUGGGCGAUUGCUUGUUUUAAGCAGGCCUUACUACAGCUUGGUUUACACCCACUGGACUAAAGUCUUAAAGGUAUGAAAUACUGCUUCCUAGAAAAGACUGCUUUAUCUAGAGAAGGACAUUUUUUGCUCAGGGUAUAUCUAUGAAGUUCACAUUAGCCUAUAUGACACAUGAUCUUGGAAUAUAAUAUUACUGUGGAAAAGAAUUAGGUGCUCUUGGCGUCAGAGUAUAAAACAAGGGCAUGAUACAAUAUUUUUAUUUUGCUUUUGGCCAGGCUUCAUGUUUCCAAAGAAUGGAAGCCAAGUUAUUGUCUUGACUGACUUUCCCUUUUUGUCUUUGUUAUGUCCUCACUCCCACUACCGAUACAUAAUAGCAAGUUGCAAAUAAACUCAGGUCCAGUUUGUUCCUUUCUAGUUUUCAAGUCCAGGGUGCAGUUGAUCUGUCUCCCCCUAAUUUUUACUGUGAUUACAAUGCCCUAGUUAAGGAUAUCCCUGCCAUUUUGGGAAUAUGUCAGUAGAGGUUGGUGUGGAUGAGAACUUAAAAUGAAAUUGCAAGCGGAAGCAGGGCGUUAAUAACACCUUCACCUGGUGUUCUCAGUGCUCAUCAACUGGCAUUUGUCUGCUUCUGCCCUAGGGUCAAGAAUUUCUGGUUUUGGAGUUCCCUGGUGGCUCAGUGGGUUAGAGAUGAGGUGUUGUUACUGCUGUGGCCCGGUUCAAUCUGUGUUCCAGGAACCUCCACGUGCUGGGGGCUUGGCCAAAAAAACAAACAAACAAAAACAAAAAAAACCUCCUGGUUUUGUCCUGUUUAUUUUAUUUGUUUAUUUUUUUGAGACACAUGGAAGUUCCCAGGCUAGAGGUUGAAUCAGAGCUGCAGCUGCCGGCCUCUGUCGCAGCUACGGCAACACCAGAUCCAAGCCGCAUCUGUGACUCUGUGACCUACACCAUAACUUGUAGCAAUGCCUGAUCCUUAACCCACUGAGUGAGGGCAGGGAUUGAACCUGCAUCCUCACAGACACUAUGUUGGGUUCCUAACUUGCUGAGCCACAGCAAGAACUCCUGGUUUUUGUCUUUGUUUAGACUUUGGUGUUGAAAGCAUCUCCUUGACACCUACAUUGGCUAUUAAAAUGCCUUCAUAUUGUCAGGUUUAGAAACCCAAGUGGAGCUGCAGCAACCGGGUUGCCGUGGCCAUAGUUCAGUAUGAGAACCACCUUGAUGAUGUGGCCAGGCCUCAGCUGCGUUGGGAUUUCAGGUGCUGGAAAGGUCCUCGUGUGGGCAAGUCCCAGAUAUCUGCUCCGUUUCCAGCUUUAUGUUGGAUAUCCCAUGUGCAAAUUACGAAUGUAAGUACUGUUGUGUACUGGGUUUGAUGCAGAUUAAAGAGCAGUUUCUGCUGCUGAAUGAAAAGCUAAAUUUGGGGUAAGAUCUUUGCCAGGCAUAUGCUACAGGAAAGGUAUACUUAAGUGUCGAUUUAAAAAACUGCUUUGACCGUUAUUGAAUAAAUAUACGGCCCUGUAGUAGGUUGUCUGGCCUUUCUUUCACUGCCAGUAUACCACUUUUGUUUUGUUAGCAGUUAUUGAAGUAUACUCUCUUGAAAACCUUAGACACCAAGUUUACCUCAGUUUCCAGCUGCAUUGGUCUCCGAUAUACCGUUCUUGUGUAUGGACCAAGGGCCAAGAGUCUGCAAAUUCAGAAGAUUAA